rnacentral:rRNA from 1 species
CGGCACGGGUGAGUAACACGUAUCCAACCUGCCGUCUACUCUUGGCCAGCCUUCUGAAAGGAAGAUUAAUCCAGGAUGGCAUCAUGAGUUCACAUGUCCGCAUGAUUAAAGGUAUUUUCCGGUAGACGAUGGGGAUGCGUUCCAUUAGAUAGUAGGCGGGGUAACGGCCCGCCUAGUCAACGAUGGAUAGGGGUUCUGAGAGGAAGGUCCCCCACAUUGGAACUGAGACACGGUCCAA